rnacentral:rRNA from 1 species
GAUGAACGCUGGCGGCGUGCUUAACACAUGCAAGUCGAACGAUGAAGCCCAGCUUGCUGGGUGGAUUAGUGGCGAACGGGUGAGUAACACGUGAGUAACCUGCCCUUGACUCUUGGAUAAGCCCGGGAAACUGGGUCUAAUACUGGAUAGGAACGUCUACCGCAUGGUGGGUGUUGGAAAGAAUUUCGGUCAUGGAUGGACUCGCGGCCUAUCAGCUUGUUGGUGAGGUAAUGGCUCACCAAGGCGACGACGGGUAGCCGGCCUGAGAGGGUGACCGGCCACACUGGGACUGAGACACGGCCCAGACUCCUACGGGAGGCAGCAGUGGGGAAUAUUGCACAAUGGGCGAAAGCCUGAUGCAGCGACGCCGCGUGAGGGAUGACGGCCUUCGGGUUGUAAACCUCUUUCAGUAGGGAAGAAGCGAAAGUGACGGUACCUGCAGAAGAAGCACCGGCUAACUACGUG